GACGAACGCUGGCGGCGUGCUUAACACAUGCAAGUCGAACGGUAAGGCCCCAGCUUGCUGGGGUACACGAGUGGCGAACGGGUGAGUAACACGUGGGUGACCUGCCCCGCACUUCGGGAUAAGCCUGGGAAACUGGGUCUAAUACCGGAUACGACCCACCGGGAGGGGGGGGUGGAAAGUUUUUCGGUGUGGGAUGGGCCCGCGGCCUAUCAGCUUGUUGGUGGGGUAAUGGCCUACCAAGGCGGCGACGGGUAGCCGGCCUGAGAGGGUGGACGGCCACAUUGGGACUGAGACACGGCCCAGACUCCUACGGGAGGCAGCAGUGGGGAAUAUUGCACAAUGGGCGGAAGCCUGAUGCAGCGACGCCGCGUGGGGGAUGACGGCCUUCGGGUUGUAAACUCCUUUCACCAUCGACGAAGGUUUUCUGACGGUAGAUGGAGAAGAAGCACCGGCUAACUACGUG
rnacentral:rRNA from 1 species